GGAUUAUCUGACACACACACACGGAAAACCCCACAAGCACAAUAUGAGCACAAUCAUCAGGUGUCAGCUUUAGACCUUCAUUUGAAAACCGAACCAUAGCUUCAGCACUAGCCUGUGUGAAAAACCCCGAAGUUAGGGAUGGGCAACUGGUAUCAGGUAUCAUAUCGUUGUUUAAAAUCCGAACCCUUAAUCGUGUCUUCAACCCUCUUAAAACUGCAUUAUGAUGCUGCAUUUUUGACUAAAAGGCAAAAGUGGCGCCCAUUGCACGUACUCAUCUCCAUGGCCAGCACGCUGAUGUUGUGCCAGCCCAGCUGCUCACGGUCCAGAUGACGCAAUGUCAUCAGAGCGCCAGACGUGAUGUCCACGUAGAAAAAUUUGUCCGGGUCACUGGAACGGUCCAAGGAGUACCUGAAGAGAAAAACGAGGAACAGGAAAAUGAUGCGGAGUCGGAGGAUAUUGAAAGUAGGAAGGGAUGAGGAGGAGAAUAACACAGAGGAGAUUGCCUAUCACCUGUAGAGAUGACGUGAUGCAACGGCGACAUCUGUUGUGUUGUUGUCGCUGUCCGGAUCCCUGGCGCACAGUGUCCUGACCAGCGUGCCCAAUUCGGCGUCCUCGGCCACGUCCACCAGGGCUGCAAGAUGCCAGCGGGUUCGCCGGCUUAUAACACAUCCACAAUAGAUUGUCGUGGACCUCCAACGCCAUUGGUUCUUUAAUUUGGAAUCCAACUUUGGGAGAAGGAAGUGAAGUCCAAAAAGGAUGCAGCGUUCCCUGGCUUUGCCCCAGCGGGACCAAAUUGGGUGACAAAGUCAUUCUGCCAUGGCGUUGCUGAGGUUGAGAAGCCUUCAGUGCGCUUGGGAGACAACAAUGAAGAUGAAGAGCAGGCCAACGAUGGGAGGAGGAUGAUGAGGAGGAGGAAGAGUGAGCAGCGGGCCGCCUCUCAAGAGCCGCGGGUGCCUUUAUUUUUAAACCCACCACUCGAUUGUUUGCUAACGUCGAGAUGGAGUUAGAGAUGCAGCGUCUCGUGGGACAUUUACAUGCAAUUCAUGAGAAAGUGAGAGACCUGCCUGACUUUCAGCCACUCUCAUUUAUUGAUUGUACACGUAAUGAGGAGCGUGGCCUAUUCAUGAAUCUAAUUGUUUUCAUUAUUAGACCCAACGCCUCAUCAGUUUGCACAUGCAAUAGAUUUGCCCUCACGACUCAGUUCAUUUAAAAUGCUUUCAUGAAUAUGCCACACUCCAAUUUAUUUCUGUUUUCAUUAAUAUGCCAACCUGGAAUUAAUUUGUUUUCAUUCAUAGGCCACGCGUUUUGGACACCUGAUGAGGAGCGUGGCCGAUCACUUAAUUUGAAUGCUUUCAUCGAAAUGCCACGCUUCAAUGAAAUUACGUUUUCCUGAAUAUGCCAAGCCCUUCAUCCGAUGGGAAGGGUGACCGACUGAACUUGACCUAGAAGAAGUCAUUUAUUCGAUUUAUAGCGAGAGAAUGUGGACAGUUUGGAGCAACGUAUGACUUAGUAAUGGAUUGCUAACAUCACUGGCAAGAAUGAGGUUAUCGUCAUUUAGAUUCGCAGCUGGCCGACCUUAGCCCACGCCUCCUUUUAAAGCGAUCUUAAAGGGGAAGUCAACCCCCCAAAUUUCUUGACAGUUAUAUGUGUCUCGACUACUCUAAACAUGGCAUUCUGAUUAAUAUUGCGUCUGUGGAAUGUUGCGCAGCAAAAUCCACCCGACAUC